rnacentral:tRNA from 2 species
GCGGCAGUGGCGGAACUGGUAGACGCGCAAGGUUGAGGGCCUUGUGGGAGUUAUCCCGUGGAGGUUCGAGUCCUCUCUGCCGCA